rnacentral:rRNA from 1 species
CAGGCCUAACACAUGCAAGUCVAACGCCGGGUAGCAAUVCCUGGAGUGGCGCACGNGUGCGUAACGCGUAACCAACCUACCUACAACUGCGGGAUAGCCCGCCGAAAGGCAUUAAUACCGCNAAUACCAGCAGCCUGGMAUCAGGUAAUUGGGAAMGAUUUAUUGGUUGUAGDUGGGGUUGCGUGCCAUHAAGCUAGUUGGCGGGGHAACAGGCCCACCAAGGCCCGAUGGCAUAGGGGACCAGAGAGGGUGAUCCCCCACACUGGCACUGAGAUACGGGCCAGACUCCUACVGGAGGCAGCAGUAGGGAAUAUUGGGCAAUGGGCGAGAGCCUGACCCAGCCUAUGCCGCGUGCCGGAUGAAGGCCUUCUGGGUUGUAAACGGCUUUUCUCAGGGAAGAAAAAGGGGAUGCGUCCCAAACUGACGGUACCUGAGGAAUAAGCACCGGCUAACUCCGUGCCAGCAGCCGCGUAAUACGGAGGGUGCAGCGUUGUCCGGAUUUAUUGGGUUUAAAGGGUGCGUAGGUGGCCCGUUAAGUCCGGGGUGAAAGCCCACUGCUCAACAGUAGAACUGCCCUGGAUACUGACGCGCUUGAGUCCAGACGACGUUGGCGGAAUGGAUAGUGUAGCGGUGAAAUGCAUAGAUACCAUCAGAACCCCGAUUGCGUAGCAGCUGACUAGGCUGGUACUGACACUGAGGCACGAAAGCGUCGGGAGCGAACACGAUUAGAUACCCUAGUAGUCACGCCGUAAACGAUCGAUACUCGUUGCAGGCGAUACACAAUCUGUCACUCAGCGAACUUUAAGUAUCCACCUAGGAGUACGCUCGCAGAGUGACACUCAAAGGAUUGACGGGGCCCCACAANUAGU